rnacentral:rRNA from 1 species
GACGAACGCUGGCGGCGUGCUUAACACAUGCAAGUCGAGCGGUAAGGCCCUUUCGGGGGGUACACGAGCGGCGAACGGGUGAGUAACACGUGGGUGACCUGCCCUCAGCUCUGGGAUAAGCCUGGGAAACCGGGUCUAAUACUGGAUAUGACUCCAUGACGCAUGUUGUGGGGGUGGAAAGCCUUGUGCGGCUGAGGAUGGGCCCGCGGCCUAUCAGCUUGUUGGUGGGGUGANGGCCUACCAAGGCGACGACGGGUAGCCGGCCUGAGAGGGCGACCGGCCACACUGGGACUGAGACACGG